rnacentral:ncRNA from 1 species
UCUUAUCUAGAGAGGCGGAGGGACUGGCCCUACGAAGCCCGGCAACCGGUUUUAUUUACACGGUGCUAAUUCCAGCAGAGCAAUGCUCUGAAAGAUAAGA